GACGAACGCUGGCGGCGUGCUUAACACAUGCAAGUCGAACGGAAAGGCCCUGCUUUUGUGGGGUGCUCGAGUGGCGAACGGGUGAGUAACACGUGAGUAACCUGCCCUUGACUUUGGGAUAACUUCAGGAAACUGGGGCUAAUACCGGAUAGGAGCUCCUGCUGCAUGGUGGGGGUUGGAAAGUUUCGGCGGUUGGGGAUGGACUCGCGGCUUAUCAGCUUGUUGGUGAGGUAGUGGCUUACCAAGGCUUUGACGGGUAGCCGGCCUGAGAGGGUGACCGGCCACAUUGGGACUGAGAUACGGACCAGACUGCUACGGGAGGCAGCAGUGGGGAAUAUUGCACAAUGGGCGGAAGCCUGAUGCAGCAACGCCGCGUGCGGGAUGACGGCCUUCGGGUUGUAAACCGCUUUCGCCUGUGACGAAGCGUGAGUGACGGUAAUGGGUAAAGAAGCACCGGCUAACUACGUG
rnacentral:rRNA from 1 species